rnacentral:rRNA from 1 species
GUGGAUUAGAUACCCUGGUAGUCCACGCUGUAAACGAUGUCAACUUGGAGUCUGUGCCAUUGAGCGUGGGCUCCGAAGCUAACGCGAUAAGUUGACCGCCUGGGGAGUACGGCCGCAAGGUUAAAACUCAAAUGAAUUGACGGGGGCCCGCACAAGCGGUGGAGCAUGUGGUUUAAUUCGAUGCAACGCGAAGAACCUUACCUGGCCUUGACAUGUCUGGAAUCCUGUAGAGAUACGGGAGUGCCUUCGGGAAUCAGAACACAGGUGCUGCAUGGCUGUCGACAGCU